UUAAGUUGGAAGUGGGAGAGUUGAAGCAUCUUCUGGGGAAGAAAAACAAGGUUGAUGUGGCUAAGAAAAAUAAGGCUGCUAGGGGUGGAUGCAACAUGGCUACCAUUACUACCGUUGUGACCUUGAUUGUAGGUGUCAUGCUUGGGAUAUUUGCCUCAGGAGUAGCUAAUGCUAAGUGAAGAAAAGUAUAGUGUAGUAGUGUUAUUUGUCAAUGAAUCUUGGUUUUAUUUCUGUUGUGUGGAAUUUGUAUUUGGUUAUGUUCAAUUAUGAUCUAUGAACUUCAUAUGUAAUGUGACAUGUCUUAUCUGUUGUGUUGAGU
rnacentral:lncRNA from 1 species